rnacentral:lncRNA from 1 species
GUUCUUGGGCCAGCAGAUGCUUACACUUCCCAGCUGCCCCCAGCAUGGAGUCUAUCUGCACAUGCUGCAGUGAGCACAGCAGGAGCUCUGCACCUACUCUUCUUCUUGUCUCAGAGAAGGAAGUGGCCAGGUGGAGCAGCUUACUCCAGGACUACUUACAGAACUACUUUCGACCUAUGGGUGUCCUUCCAUACCCUUCACUAACAGGUUUUAGAUUGAUACUGUCGAGCUCAUGGCACUUAGUCCAGCAAGCAGACAUCGUAUCGCACUGGUCGCAAUACUUUGAGGUACGUAGCAGACCCUGGACCAAAUACUGGUGUGUUUGUGGCUUUGCAGGUGCAUUUCUUUGUGCACUGGUGAGAUGUGUAGCACAGCAGGCAGCAAAGCAGUUGGUUCUGACAGCUGUGCCUGUGUCCAUGCCCAUGCCUGUGCCCUGCUCACGUCCAAGCCCAUGUCCAAGCCCACGCUCGUGCCCAUGCCCUGCCAAUACCUGCUGGUGCUCAGCCCAGAUCAGCCCCACUCCAGAGCUGUGCCUGGGUUUGGCAUGGGCCAGGGGUGCCCUACAGCCUCCCUUGUGGGUGAGGCACCACUGCAAGGAACCUGGUUUGUGCACUCUGAGGCUGCAUCACAGUAUGAACCAUGGCACAGUAAACUGGGGUGAUCACCAAAUUUGCUUCCACAAAAGCACACUCCUGCUUCAAGCUCGAAGGCUGACUGUAAUGGCUCCUCAGCUUCAGCUACCCAUUUUAUUGGCUGAAAUUACCUGCAGGUGCAGAAGAAAUAGAACCCAGUUUUGAAGAACUGGCCCAGAGGUAAGCUUUGAUUGAAAUAUUUUAUUUGAAUUUUUAUUGGGUGAAUGUGUCAAAGGCUGGCCUCUGUGCAGAGAGCCAGGGCUGCUUUGAGCCAGACACAGACAGUUCCAGCCAGCUCAAACUAACCCACCACAGGGCACUGCUGAGCCCCACAGCCACGAUGGUGGCACCUCAGACUAAAUGUAUGUAAGAAAUGCCAGAAAGUGCCACGCAGAGAUGGGACAAGAGAACAAAAUAGUGAGAAACAGGAGACGCAAGGUCACAGAAUGAGGACGAGGAGGAGGUACUACCUGACACUGGACCAGGCAUCCGCUGCAGCCCAUGGAGGACACAAUGCCAUAGUACAUGGUUAUUCUCAAAGGAGCUGUCACCAUGGAGAGUCCACACUGGAGCGAGGAAAAGAUGUGAGAAGGAGGAAGCAGCAGAGAGAAACUGCUGUCUUCUCACUGUGACCCCCAUGGUAUCACCCACACCACUCAGGUGGUGGACAGGAGUCUGGAGAGAAGGAGUUACGGUGACCCUGGGGAAAGGAGGAGAAGUGUUGUUUUAAUGUUUGUCUUGUUAACCAGUACCUGUAUAAGGAAUUAAAUACUUAUUUUAAUUGACAAUAAAUUAAUUUUCCCCAGUUUGAGAUAAGCA